rnacentral:rRNA from 1 species
UACUCGCUAUUGGAGCGGCCGAUAUCAGAUUAGCUAGUUGGUGGGUAAAGGCCUACCAAGGCAACGAUCUGUAGUUGGUCUGAGAGGACGACCAGCCACACUGGGACUGAGACACGGCCCAGACUCCUACGGGAGGCAGCAGUGGGGAAUUUUGGACAAUGGGCGCAAGCCUGAUCCAGCAAUGCCGCGUGCAGGAAGAAGGCCUUCGGGUUGUAAACUGCUUUUGUCAGGGAAGAAAUCCUCUAGGUUAAUACCCUUGGGGGGAUGACGGUACCUGAAGAAUAAGCACCGGCUAACUACGUGCCAGCAGCCGCGGUAAUACGUAGGGUGCAAGCGUUAAUCGGAAUUACUGGGCGUAAAGCGUGCGCAGGCGGCUUUGCAAGACAGAUGUGAAAUCCCCGGGGCUCAACCUGGGAACUGCAUUUGUGACUGCAAGGCUAGAGUACGGUAGAGGGGGAUGGAAUUCCGCGUGUAGCAGUGAAAUGCGUAGAUAUGCGGAGGAACACCAAUGGCGAAGGC